UGGGGAAUAUUGCACAAUGGGCGAAAGCCUGAUGCAGCAACGCCGCGUGAGUGAUGAAGGCCUUCGGGUUGUAAAGCUCUGUCUUCUGGGACGAUAAUGACGGUACCAGAGGAGGAAGCCACGGCUAACUACGUGCCAGCAGCCACGGUAAUACGUAGGUGGCAAGCGUUGUCCGGAUUUACUGGGCGUAAAGGAAGCGUAGGCGGAUACUUAAGUCAGAUGUGAAAAUCCCGGGCUUAACUUGGGAACUGCAUUUGAAACUGGGUAUCUAGAGUGCGGGAGAGGAAAGUGGAAUUCCUAGUGUAGCGGUGAAAUGCGUAGAGAUUAGGAAGAACACCAGUGGCGAAGGCGACUUUCUGGACCGUAACUGACGCUGAGGCAUGAAAGCGUGGGGAGCAAACA
rnacentral:rRNA from 1 species